CCUAACCCGAGAGGCAUUGUAGAUAUGGCUGGUGUGUCACAUGUGCAUCAGUAGGUGGCAGAGAAGAGAGGCUAUGUCUAUGCUUAGUGUUCUGAUCCAUGAACAUCUGAAUGAAUAGUAUCCUAAAAGU
ensembl:snoRNA Gm22371 small nucleolar RNA SNORA17